rnacentral:rRNA from 1 species
GAUGAACGCUAGCGGCAGGCUUAAUACAUGCAAGUCGAGGGGCAGCAGGUCUGUAGCAAUACAGAUGCUGGCGACCGGCAAACGGGUGCGUAACACGUACGCAACCUUCUCGUUACUGGGGAAUAGCCCAGGGAAACUUGGAUUAAUACCCCAUAUUAUAUUGGUUGGGCAUCCGACUGAUAUCAAAGUUUUAACGGUAACGGAUGGGCGUGCGGUUGAUUAGGUAGUUGGCGGGGUAACGGCCCACCAAGCCUACGAUCAAUAGCUGAUGUGAGAGCAUGAUCCACCAACCGGGCACUGGGACACGGGCCCGAGUCCUCCGGGCGGCAGCAGUAGGGAAUAUUGGGCAAUGGACGCAAGUCUGACCCAGCCAUGCCGCGUGAAGGAUGAAGGUCCUCUGGAUUGUAAACUUCUUUUAUCUGGGGCGAAAAUCGGGUAUUCUUAUCCGCUUGACAGUACCAGAGGAAUAAGCACCGGCUAACUCCGUGCCAGCCGCCGCCGUAACAC